UGGUUAUUUAAUUUAUCCAAACUUGAAAGGUGUGAAACAAUAAAUUUUGGAGUUAAAGCUCCCCCUUUCAUUUGGAAUUAUAUAAGCCUUCAUGUCAUGCAAUCAAUUGUUUGGCUUAUAUAUAUUUAAUGAUUUUGCUUUCUUAAAAAUUCAGAUUCUCCCCCUCAACAUAUGCAUUCAACUUUGUUUUGAUUCUCUGAAUUUUCUUUUAGUG
rnacentral:lncRNA from 1 species